rnacentral:tRNA from 1 species
GGUCUUAUAGUCAAAUUUAUGAUUUUAAACUGCAAAUUUAAAGGUGAGGUUAAUCUAAGGCUU